GAUGAACGCUGGCGGCGUGCUUAACACAUGCAAGUCGAACGAUGAAGCCCAGCUUGCUGGGUGGAUUAGUGGCGAACGGGUGAGUAACACGUGAGUAACCUGCCCUUCACUCUGGGAUAAGCCUGGGAAACUGGGUCUAAUACCGGAUAGGAGCGCCUACCGCAUGGUGGGUGUUGGAAAGAUUUAUCGGUUUUGGAUGGACUCGCGGCCUAUCAGCUUGUUGGUGAGGUAAUGGCUCACCAAGGCGACGACGGGUAGCCGGCCUGAGAGGGUGACCGGCCACACUGGGACUGAGACACGGCCCAGACUCCUACGGGAGGCAGCAGUGGGGAAUAUUGCACAAUGGGCGCAAGCCUGAUGCAGCGACGCCGCGUGAGGGAUGACGGCCUUCGGGUUGUAAACCUCUUUCAGUAGGGAAGAAGCGAAAGUGACGGUACCUGCAGAAGAAGCACCGGCUAACUACGUG
rnacentral:rRNA from 1 species